UUGCUGGUUUUAGGAGUUGGUUUAGUGAACUUUUCAGCUGGGUUUUAUGGAGGAAAACAACUAAUUUCAAAGCUGUUCUAGAGGUGCUUUAAUGGAGUUUGGACAGAUUUUGAAGAAAUUUUGCCAGCUAUUUUCCGUUGGUUUGAGGGCUAUUUUAAUGGAGUUUUACAUGGGUUUUGGGGCUGCUUUGAGCUCAAGUUCCAGCUGGAAUAAGAUUUUGGUGGUGUUUAUUGGAGCGGCUGAGAUGAGGAAAAGGAGCGAAGAGGGAGAGUGUGGCGGCUGCGUUCUUAGCUUUCCUAGGGUUCUUUUAUUCUCUCUUUUUUUGCCUUCCAGAUUUGUUUUCCCUCCUGUUUUUAGUGGAUGAAUUGGCCAGCAAGAAAUAUAUUCUUAAUGCUAAUGUGAGCGUAGAGGAUAAAAGUGAAUUUCCUUUUGCACCGUUGUAUAAGGUAAAAUAUGUUCAUAUUAAAUGCUCGCUAAUAAAGCGACACGUGGAGCCGAAAGCAGAUGAAAAACAAGACAAAUGACAAUCAGGUCCGAAGGCAAUAAUCCCGUUUGUUUCCAAAGACAAUGAUGUUCUUAAAAACAAAAUAAAUAUCUGUCAUCCAAUAGUAUUUAAUGAAAAAUAUUUUAU
rnacentral:lncRNA from 1 species